rnacentral:rRNA from 1 species
GACGAACGCUGGCGGCGUGCUUAGCACAUGCAAGUCGAACGGAAAGGCCCUGCUUUUGUGGGGUGCUCGAGUGGCGAACGGGUGAGUAACACGUGAGUAACCUGCCCUUGACUUUGGGAUAACUUCAGGAAACUGGGGCUAAUACCGGAUAGGAGCUCCUGCUGCAUGGUGGGGGUUGGAAAGUUUCGGCGGUUGGGGAUGGACUCGCGGCUUAUCAGCUUGUUGGUGGGGUAGUGGCUUACCAAGGCUUUGACGGGUAGCCGGCCUGGGAGGGUGACCGGCGACAAUGGGACUGAGAUACGGCCCAGACGCCUACGGGAGGCAGCAGUGGGGAAUAUUGCACAGUGGGCGGGAGCCUGAUGCAGCAACGCCGCGUGCGGGAUGACGGCCUUCGGGUUGUAAACCGCUUUCGCCUGUGACGAAGCGUGAGUGAUGGUACUGGGUAAAGAAGCACCGGCUAACUACGUG